rnacentral:antisense_RNA from 1 species
UAAACUGUUCCUGUUUCUCCAUCUUGACAGGAAGCAGAAGUUCUCCUUAGCUGAUUUUUCUUCUUGCCUUAUACUGGGUUCUUUAACACCAGAACAAAAAUAAAUAAAUAAAAGAAUCUUCCAGAAAUUCAUGAAGAGACUUCAGGUCAGGAAAGCCUGAACUUUCUCAUCCAACACCUGUUCAAGUCGGAGGAUGCUGAUUAAUUCAUGAUGGAAAGGUAUCAAUUUCACAGCCCAGACCUCUACAUUCUUGAAAUGCUCUUCUCAUGGGAGACAUUAAAUAAGCUUUGAAUUAACUGCUCCUGUUCAUUCCAUUCCAACCUGGCUGUUCUCAAGGGCAUUAGAAGAAGCAAGAAAAGAAGAUAUGGUGACCAGUGGUUCACAGCAAUGCCCAGAGGAGUUAAAAGUGGUCUGAUGAAGAGUGUCUAGCCCUGCAGUGUUGGGAGGUAGGAAGCAGAAACUCAGCAGCCUGGGUGUCAAGGCACAUAAAUCAAGAAGGCCACUUUGGGCAGCAAAUAAAGAAACCAAGCAGACACCCAGAUAUGGAUAGUGAGAAAAGCUACUGUUAAGUGAAAUACACAGGACUUUGGGACGUGGGUA